rnacentral:rRNA from 1 species
ACUCCUACGGGAGGCAGCAGUGGGGAAUAUUGCACAAUGGGGGAAACCCUGAUGCAGCCAUGCCGCGUGUGUGAAGAAGGCCUUCGGUUGUAAAGCACUUUCAGUAGGGAGGAAGGUAGUGUAGUUAACACCUGCAUUAUUUGUACGUUACCUACAGAAGAAGCACCGGCUAACUCCGUCGCCAGCAGCCGCGGUAAGUACGGAGGGUGCGAGCGUUAAUCGGAAUUACUGGGCGUAAAGCGCAUGCAGGCGGCCUGUUAAGUCAGAUGUGAAAGUCCCGGGGACUUAACCUCGGAAUUGCAUUUGAAACUGGCAGGCUAGAGUCUUGUAGGAGGGGUUAGAAUUUCGAGGUGUAGCGGUGAAAUGCGUAGAGAUCGUGAAGG